rnacentral:rRNA from 1 species
AUGAAGGAUCUCGUCCUCGUGCUUCUGGGCCUUGUGUUCGUCGGUGCCGUUGGUGCUAGCGCGGUGGGGCGGCCGGUGGUGCCGGCGAUGUUCGUGCUGGGGGACUCGACGCUGGACGUGGGCAACAACAACCAUCUGCCAGGGAAGGACGUGCCCAGGGCCAAUGAACCCUUCUACGGCAUUGACUUCCCCGGCGGUGCGAAGGCCACCGGGCGGUUCAGCAACGGCUACAACAUCGCCGACUUCAUCGGUACGUAUCAUCACGCAAGUUCACAACUACUAUAUGUAUGUAUGUGUAGAUCCUGUGCUGACUUCAUGGAUGGCUGCAACGAGGCUGCAACGAGGCACCUCGGGUUCGAGAGGAGCCCCCUGGCUUACCUGGUGCUGAAAUCACGCAACUAUCUCAUCCCCAGCGCUCUGACCAGAGGCGUGAGCUACGUACGCCUCGGCGGGAUCCGGGAUCCUCGACUCCACUGCCGGAAAUAUGCUCAAAACGUCUACUUGAGAUGGUACUUUCCCGAACAGCUUGCUGUCGGUGGAUUUGUCCGGUUUAUUUGGAACCAACGUCCAAGGGAGGGAGCUCCGGAACGUGGGAUUAGGAACCGAGACACAUGUAUAGGUCGGUCAUAUAUUAUCUUCUCUGUGGCAUAUCGCCUCCCUUUCUUCUCUCCAUUUGUUGCCCCUCUCCUCCAGCAUGCCCUUCCCUACCAUGGCGCCUUCUCUCUCUCCUUCCCCUCCCAUGGUGCCCAUCCCUCCAUUCCCAUGACACCCCUCCCCCUCCCUUCUUCAUAUGGCGCCUCAUUACCCUCUAUUCUGGUGUCUGUUCAUCCGGGUUCAAUUUUGCAGAUCUGUAGCAAUCAAGUCCUAAUCCCUUUCUGCUGCUUCAGUCCUAUCUCUCACGAGUCUUGUCUUUUAGUAGAUGAUUAUUUCUGUUUUGAACCUCAUGUUCAUUUUAAAUUAGUUAUCUGGAAGAGUUUGUCUAUGUGUUUAUCAUUUUCUCGUUCAAUCAUGUUAGUUUUGUCAUCUCAGAAGUGUCAUAAAAUUCUUAGCCAUAUAUCAGUUUGUAGUUUUCAGUUUCAGUCAUCUUCAUUGCAGUUAGUCCAUGAUAAUUUCGGCGAGGAAGCUGAUUCCCCUGCUGCUUUUUUAUUUUACUCAUCGCAAGCAGCAUCACACGCAGUUGCAUCCAUGUCUUCUCUCCCCACCACCCGCCAGCUAACGUCACGCCUCCACAGAUUUCUUUUCUUUGUUACAAGCCUGCGUCCUCUUCCAGGUGUGAGCCCUCUACCUCGAGACCUCGUUGGGUUACACCACCGCGGGCACGGCGUAACAUCACCUGAACUUGCUGAAGUAGUGGCCUGGCCAUUAGUUAUUAUACUUGGAGAGGAAGAAGGUGAUCAGGUAGAGGGGAGGCGGCCCGUUAGGUGUACAGGACGGGGCGCUACACAUUCGAGGACCAGAAAGGCUGAGGCACAUUUUUCCAACCUGAAACGAAACGCCGGAAAGAACAUACCAUUAUCGAAGCAGGUGCAAUACUUCGCGUCCACCAAGGCCGAGAUGGAGGUCGCGUGGGGCAGCCGUAAAGUCUCCAAGCUCAUUGCCAGCUCCUUCUUCCUCUUGGGCACCGGCAGCAACGAUCUCUUCCAGACCAGACCAAAGUCCCAAGCUGAUGUUGCUGCACUAUAUGCCACCCUCGUCUCAAACUACUCUGCUGCCAUCAUUGACCUGUAUGGGAUGGGAGCAAGGAAGUUUGGGAUCAUUAACACUGGUCCAGUAGGGUGUGUGCCGCGGGUGCGUUUGUUGAACGCAACGGGGGCCUGCAAUGAUGGCAUGAACCGCCUCGGUGCCGGGCUUGCCACGGCGUUCAAGUCUGGCCUUGCCACCGCCCUCGCCCCGACGAGGCUCCCAGGCCUCAAGUACUCCCUUGUCGACUCUUUCGCCGGCUCACAGGCCAAUUUCGACAACCCCCAAGCGGCCGGGUUCCUGAACGCUGAUAGCGCGUGCUGCGGGAGCGGUAGGCUGGGCGCGGAGGGUAAGUGCACGAGGAAUGCGACACUGUGCAGUCAUCGUGAUGCGUAUGCUUUCUUUGACAACGUGCACCCCAGCCAGCGGGCCGCUGAGCUGAGUGCACAGGCGCUCUUCGUGGACGGCCCGACACAGAUCACCACACCCAUCAGCUUCAAGGAGCUAGCCCACCAGAGAUGA